rnacentral:lncRNA from 1 species
UCGGGGACAUGAACUUGGGUUCAGCAACAACGGCAUGGCCAGGCCUCAGCACCAGACUUUGCCAAACUCAUCACUGACAGCUGGAUGGCCGCAUGCUUCUUAGAGAUGCAGGAGCACCCAUUUCCCUUGAUUUCAACAAGAGGAAGGAAGAACUGAUGAGAAAGUCCUCUCAGGCUAACAGACUUACUUUACCAGACAUACCUGAAAUGGAUGAUUUGUAUAUUUCAGGACAGAGUUCCCCUACAAAAUUAAAUUUCCAUCUCAUUCGGAUAUUACUGAAAUUGCAAAGACCAGAAAAACACUGCUGCUCCAACUGGAGAUUCACCAGUCAGCAUCAACAAAAGCAAUCAGGCAGGUAAAGUCUUUUGAAAUUGCUCUGUGCUAAAAAUAGAAGAGUUAGCCAAAUGCUGAGCACACAAUACAACAAAAGAGACGCUAGACUCUGGGCUUCCUGACUGGGGUGCGUGUGGGGGCAACUGAGCAGCACGCAGUUCAGACGGAUGGGUGCACAGGACAAUGUGAAAUGUACACUAGCUGCUAUGUUUGAGAAAUGAAUUAGUAAAUGAUCGAGUGUGACUGUACCACUACCGUGUAAACAGUGGCUCUGUUUCUCGUAGCAAUGCCUGGGACAUAGCCUUCAGAGUAAAAAUAUUUACCGUCUAUUUAUAGAGAUGGCAAAAAAAAACUUAUGAAAUAAUCAAUAAACAUGUAUUAAGCAACUGCAUCUAAGUAUGGGACACAAUGCCCAGUGAAGAUUAAACAAGAUAUAUGUCAUAGGAGAUCUUUUGUUUUUUGAGAGGUUUUAAUGUU